GACGAACGCUGGCGGCGUGCUUAACACAUGCAAGUCGAACGGAAAGGCCCUGCUUUUGUGGGGUUCUCGAGUGGCGAACGGGUGAGUAACACGUGAGUAACCUGCCCUUGACUUUGGGAUAACUUCAGGAAACUGGGGCUAAUACCGGAUAGGAUCUCCUGCUGCAUGGUGGGGUUUGGAAAGUUUCGGCGGUUGGGGAUGGACUCGCGGCUUAUCAGCUUGUUGGUGGGGUAGUGGCUUACCAAGGCUUUGACGGGUAGCCGGCCUGAGAGGGUGGCCGGCCACAUUGGGACUGAGAUACGGCACAGACUCCUACGGGAGGCAGCAGUGGGGAAUAUUGCACAAUGGGCGGAAGCCUGAUGCAGCAACGCCGCGUGCGGGAUGACGGCCUUCGGGUUGUAAACCGCUUUCGCCUGUGACGAAGCGUGAGUGACGGUAAUGGGUAAAGAAGCACCGGCUAACUACGUG
rnacentral:rRNA from 1 species